AUGGAUAAUAUCACCCAUAUUCUAAAAGAUGCUCAGGAUCCGGAUGACAACGUAAGGUUAGAAGCAGAAGCCAAACUCAAGCAGCUCGAGGAGCGUAAUCGUCCCAACUUCCUCCUAUGCUUAUCAGCAGAGCUCUCGAGGGAGGCAAGUCCACCCGAGUGCAGAUGCCUCGCUGGGACUAUCCUUAAGAAUUCAGUUGAAGGAAAGUAUUCUGAACAUAACAGCAUACUCAUCAAACAAUGGAUCAGCCUGGAUCCACGCAUCAAAACUGAGAUUAAGGAGUCAUUGCUGAUGACACUAGGAUCUUCGGCUCCUCAGGCAAGGCACGCAUCAUCACAGAUUAUUGGCAGGCUUGCAUACAUUGAGAUACCCUCCCGGGGAUGGCAGGACCUCAUUGGCAGAUUGCUGGGCAACAUGGCACAGCAGGGCGCAUCUCCUCCACCAAAGCAAGCAAUUCUAGAGGCGCUGGAGUAUGUGUUUGAGGAGGAGACCUUGAGGUUCGACAAGGAUACAAUUGAUGGUGUUCUGGACGCCGUCAUCCGUGCGACGAGUUUUCAAGUCCGUCUUGUGGCGGUUAAAGCUCUACGGAAUGUUCACAAGUUUGCUAACUUUGCAAAUGAUGAUGAUUGCAGAAAUCGUAUAAUGACUGCAAUCUGUGAUGCAGCUAAAUCCGAUGAAGCAGCGGAGGUCAAGCAUGCAGGAUUCGGCUGCCUUGCUGCGAUUGCAUCCAACUAUUAUAUGGAGUUAGAACCUUACAUGGAACCAUACUCAGCCUUACAACUCAGGCUUUGGACUUGGAAGGAGGCGUUAUCCUUGAAGGGCCCUCUAUUAAGAAACUCGCUCCUGGUUGGUUGGUUGAUGGACGGGAUGGAAGACUCACACAUGGAGGUAAGAGGCGCCGCAGCAUGCACUCUUGGGCGGGCGUUUGAGCUUCUGCAUUCUCCAGCUCUUGAUAAAAGACUUUUCACAAAUGAAGACUUUCCUCGCGUCAUGGCUGCGUUGUCAAAGAGUGGUAAAGAUGUUCCACAAGUGUCCAAGGAGGUCUAUGGAGCUAUAUAUUUUCUUGCCCGAGGUUAUGAUCAGUCAAUCUCAUCUGAGGUAGACCUUUCAAAAAAGAAAAUCUCAUCUGAGCUUUCACCUUUUCUUACUGGUGUUAUCGAUGCUCUCCUUUCUGCUUCGGAACUUGAUAAGAAGACCCCUUUGGGGCUUCCAGCAUCUGCAUCUGCUUAUGGCACAUUGAUUGAGGCUGUGAGAGUAAUCAACAUAUGGGAUUUGGAAGCUGUACUAGCUAUUAUAGUUUUAAUGCAUCGUAUCAUGAGAAGAUUAAACACCGCGCUUGAUGCCAAGGCAAUUUCAUCAGAUGACAAGACUAACAAGCACAAUCUUCAGGCGUUGUCGUGUGAUGUACUGCACGCCAUAAUCGAGAAACUCGGCAAUUCACUUCACGCGGACAAGGUUAGGGAGUCUGCUCCGUUUAUGUGUCUUCAGUUUUGCCGUGUCCUGACCUGCGACUGCUCUACUGCACGUGAUAAAGCAGCACUCGCCAUUGGUGCUCUCGCUCGUGCCGUCGGUCCAAAGUUUCUGGAUUGCAUGCCAAUAUUUUUGCAGUAUUACAGUGUGAAGCUAUUCUACCCAAUCUAUUUAGAGGUGAUUUGCACUAUCUUUCAUGCCUUGGGAGAUGAAAUCCUGCCAUGCUGUGAUUAUAUGAUGGGUGUUCUUUACAAAGGUCUCUCACAACCCAAGCUUAAACCUCAAAUUUUGGCAUGUUUUGGGGAGAUCGCUCUUGCUAUUGGCAAGAUUUUUGAGGACAAGUACCUGCAGGCUGUUAGGAAAAAGCUGAAAGAAGCUGCUAACCCAAGAUAUUAUGCCAAUGUUUUUGAUGAGGAUAAGGUCGAUUACGGUAUCCAGCUUAGACAGGGAAUAUGCAAGGCUUACUCUGGCAUACUGCGGGGUAUAAAGGACCCAAAAUCUGGGUUGAAGGUAGCAGCGGAUCUAGUUGAGUUCAUUGAAGCAGUCUCCAAGGACCAGAAGAGGGGUGGAAGGGUGACAUACGCUGCAGUUGAUGCGUGGGCUCAGUUUGGUUUGACGGUGGAGUCAUGGAAAAAGGGACUUAUUUCGGAUUUACAGAGGUAG
rnacentral:rRNA from 1 species